rnacentral:rRNA from 1 species
UACAGAGGUCCCAAGCGUUGUUCGGAUUCAUUGGGCGUAAAGGGUGCGUAGGCGGCGCGGUAAGUCGGGUGUGAAAUCUCGGAGCUUAACUCCGAAACUGCAUUCGAUACUGCCGUGCUUGAGGACUGGAGUGGAGACUGGAAUUUACGGUGUAGCGGUGAAAUGCGUAGAUAUCGUAAGGAAGACCAGUGGCGAAGGCGGGUCUCUGGACAGUUCCUGACGCUGAGGCGCGAAGGCCAGGGGAGCAAACGGG